GAGUCGGUAAAGUUGGUCGUGCCACCGGUAUGUACUGGCUUUACUGGUUCCUCCUUCUUGAAGAACUGUGAUGUCAUUUAUUUGGUGUUGCAGGGAAACAGGACUGUUACUUUGAAAAAAUUAGAGUGUUUAAAGCAGGCCGAUGCCUGAAUACAUUAGCAUGGAAUAAUGAAAUAGGACGUUUAAUCCUAUUUUGUUGGUUUCUAGGAUUGACGUA
rnacentral:rRNA from 1 species